rnacentral:lncRNA from 1 species
AUGGUGAGCGACUGAAAGGAGACGCUGGACAGGAAGGCCGGAGAGAGCAGCAGGGAGUCAGACGGAAGUAGACUAACAGGCAGAGUACUUCUAUGAGUUCCUGUCGCUGCGCUCGCUGGAUAAAGGCAUCAUGGCAGACCCAACUGUCAAUGUCCCUCGGCUGGGAACAGUGCCUCACAAGGCAUCAGUUGUUCAAGUUGGUUUCCCGUGUCUCGGCAAACAGGAUGGGGUGGCAGCAUUUGAAGUGAAUGUGAUUGUCAUGAAUUCUGAAGGCAACCCCAUCCUUCGGACCCCUCAAAAUGCUAUCUUCUUUAAAACAUGUCAACAAGCUGAGUGCCCAGGAGGGUGUCGAAAUGGAGGCUUUUGUAACGAAAGGCGGGUCUGCGAGUGUCCCGAUGGGUUCUAUGGACCUCACUGUGAGAAAGCCCUCUGCAUACCUCGAUGUAUGAACGGUGGUCUGUGUGUCACUCCUGGCUUCUGCAUCUGCCCGCCUGGAUUCUACGGUGUCAACUGUGACAAAGCAAACUGCUCGGCCACCUGCUUUAAUGGAGGGACCUGUUUUUACCCAGGAAAAUGUAUUUGCCCUCCAGGACUUGAGGGAGAGCAGUGUGAACUCAGCAAGUGCCCCCAACCCUGCCGAAACGGAGGUAAAUGCAUUGGUAAAAGCAAGUGUAAGUGUCCGAAAGGUUACCAAGGAGACCUGUGCUCUAACUGUCUGCGAGCCUGGCUGCGGUGCCCAUGGAACCUGCCACGAACCCAACAAAUGCCAGUGUCGAGAGGGCUGGCAUGGGAGACACUGCAA